AAUCAAGUGAUGCGUGUCCAGAAGGCAAGU
rnacentral:piRNA from 1 species